rnacentral:lncRNA from 1 species
UGUGGAAAACAGUAUGGCCGUUCCUUUAAAAAUUAAAAGGAAUUAUCGUAUGAUCCAAUAAUUCCACUUCUAGGUCUGUACCCAGAAGAACUGAAAGCAAGAUCUUGGAGAUAUAUUGGUAUGCCCACCUUCAAGGCAACAUGAUUCGCUAUAGCUAAAACUUGGAAGCAACCCAAAUGUCUAUCAGUAAAUAAAUGGUUGAGCAAAAUGUGGCCUAUACGUGCAUUGGAAUAUUAUUCAGACUCAAAAAGGAAAUGCUACAACAUGCUGCAACAUGGAUGAACCUUGAGGACAUUAUGUGGUUGGAUCCACUGUUUGCUUAUUACUUCUUGGCUUACCUUUUGAAUUUGCC